GAUGAACGCUAGCUACAGGCUUAACACAUGCAAGUCGAGGGGCAGCGGGCUUGUAGCUUGCUUCACUUGCCGGCCACCGGCGCACGGGUGAGUAACGCGUAUCCACCCUUCCGUACACUCAGGGAUAGCCUUUCGAAAGAAAGAUUAAUACCUGAUGGUAUGAUGAGAUUGCAUGAUAUCAUCAUUCAAGAUUUAUCGGUGUACGAUGGGGAUGCGUUCCAUUAGGUAGUAGGCGGGGUAACGGCCCACCUGGCCAACGAUGGAUAGGGGUUCUGAGGGGAGGCGCCCCCAGAUGGGGACCGGGACACUGUGCAAACUGCUACGGGAGGCAGCAGUGAGGAAGAUUGGUCAAGGGACGAGUGUCUGAACCAGCCAAGUAGCGUGAAGGAAGGAGGUCUGACGGAUGGUAAACUUCUUUUAGAAGGGAGCUAACCCUCCCACGUGUGCGAGCGUGUCUGUACCGUAUGAAUAAGCAUCGGCUAACUCCGUG
rnacentral:rRNA from 1 species